rnacentral:rRNA from 1 species
UACGGAGGAUGCGAGCGUUAUCCGGAUUUAUUGGGUUUAAAGGGUGCGUGGGCGGGCUUUUAAGUCAGCGGUAAAAAUUCGGGGCUCAACCCCGUCCGGCCGUUGAAACUGGGGGCCUUGAGUGGGCGAGAAGAAGGCGGAAUGCGUGGUGUAGCGGUGAAAUGCAUAGAUAUCACGCAGAACCCCGGUUGCGAAGGCAGCCUUCCGGCGCCCUACUGACGCUGAGGCACGAAAGUGCGGGGAUCGAACAGG